rnacentral:rRNA from 1 species
CAGCAGCCACGGGAAUACGGAGGGGGCUAGCGUUGUUCGGAAUUACUGGGCGUAAAGCGCACGUAGGCGGCUUGGUAAGUUAGAGGUGAAAGCCCGGAGCUCAACUCCGGAAUUGCCUUUAAGACUGCCGAGCUAGUAGGUGAGAGAGGUAAGUGGAAUUCCGAGUGUAGAGGUGAAAUUCGUAGAUAUUCGGAAGAACACCAGUGGCGAAGGCGGCUUACUGGCUCAUUCUAGACGCUGAGGUGCGGAAGCGUGGGGAGCAAACGGGAUUAGAUACCCCCGUAGUCCCUGUCUCUUAUAC